CCUCAAACUGCAAAGAAAUGACUUUCUCUUGUAUCUAGCUUUUCCUGAGUCCCCACUGCAGGGCCAGGCCCCGCUUACAUGUCACUGCACGCCCUCUUGAAUUUUCUAGUCAGACUCUUGUCACAUCUGGAGGCUGCCAGGCCCACUUUGAUAAUCACUGUCCUCUCUGACUGACAGGUGUAUGGUGUGACUUGAGCUUGGGACACCGGGGCCCAGCUCUGCUGCUUACUGGCUGGUUGACCUUGAACAUAUCCCUGGGCCUCUCUGAGGGGCGCUGGUGCAAAGGCCUUCUCUGGAUCUUUAGAAGUCAACCUUGAACAUGGGUCCCUGCUGCCUCUGAGUGCUUAUAGCCCAGCUGUUUAUCCACAGCUUCCUCCCUCCUGGCAGCAGUCUCAUCCCACAGCCUGCUCUGCUGAUCUCUUCCAAGAGACAUGGGCAGCGUCUGCAACUGAACCCAAGAUCCCUGGGAAACUCGACAGCCGCUCACCCCCACAUGCUUUCUCCUGGCUCCCCACCCCGAAAAUGCACUGCCAUGGACCAGAGGAACGCUUCAGUGGCCAGCCACUGGUAUGUUUUCAAGUUCCCACCUGCUGUCAUUUUGUCCUGAGCCUGUUUAUCCAGGUGAAUUCUGCUUACCUUAGAAGGUGAGGUCUUGAAAACAAGAGAGAGACCAGUUCUAUGCAAUGCCCUCGGCACAGAGCUUAGUGCAGAACCACAAGCACUUAGGUAUUUAAUAAAUGCUUCCUGAUGGUAGAAUACUAGAGGAAAUCUUUUUAUCUCAGACUUUCUUGGACUUAUGAAUUAGGUGGAAAGUAGGUGGAGUAAGGGUGAGAUGGUGG
ensembl:lncRNA